rnacentral:rRNA from 1 species
AGCGAACGCUGGCGGCAGGCCUAACACAUGCAAGUCGAACGCCCCUUCGGGGAGUGGCGGACGGGUGAGUAACGCGUGGGAACGUGCCCUUUGGUACGGAACAACUGAGGGAAACUUCAGCUAAUACCGUAUGCGCCCUACGGGGGAAAGAUUUAUCGCCAUUGGAGCGGCCCGCGUUGGAUUAGGUAGUUGGUGGGGUAAUGGCCCACCAAGCCGACGAUCCAUAGCUGGUCUGAGAGGAUGAUCAGCCACACUGGGACUGAGACACGGCCCAGACUCCUACGGGAGGCAGCAGUGGGGAAUCUUGCGCAAUGGGCGAAAGCCUGACGCAGCCAUGCCGCGUGUAUGAUGAAGGUCUUAGGAUUGUAAAAUACUUUCACCGGGGAAGAUAAUGACGGUACCCGGAGAAGAAGCCCCGGCUAACUUCGUGCCAGCCGCCGCAGUAA